UCUCACGUAACAGACGUUAAGAAAACGGAAAAAGUAACACAAUAACGGUACUAAAUAAUGAAAGUAAAAGUGAUUCAAUGAAUUUGAAUUCAAAAAUAUACUAAACAAAUGCAAGUGGAAUCAGGAAAACGCAUAUUAGCAACAACAACAAGUACACAGAAAAUAAGAAAGAACAGCAAAUUGUGUGCGCGUGUGUGUGGAUGGUGCUAAUGCAGUGGAGCAACAGUGAAUAUUAAAAGUAGCUACAAUUCGCACAAAAGCCAAAAAACAACAACAACAAAAGCAGCACUUUAAAAUCUUCUUAACAGCAAAGCUGAUUGCGCAUUUGUUCAGCACCGUGGGUGCCUUGAGCAGUACUGGAGUGUCAUUAAAACGUCGACUACUCUACAUAAUUUGGCGCUUCACUUUGCUUAAUGCACCAUAAUUAGUUGUGCUAAGUGUAAACAACAAAACAUAAAAAAAAACAACAAAAAAAUAAAAUAAAAUAAAAAGCAACAAAAAGUGCAGCAGUCACACUGAAUUGUUUUUUACAAAGUUGUUGUCGUUCACCAUCAUAAGCUGUAAUCUUUCCCCAUUGGGGACGUGGAUAUUGUAGUUGUGUUUUAAAAACGAGUCGCUGGCAUCAACCUGUAAGUGUUGCUGUUGUGGUAAAU